UACGUAGGCAGCGAGCGUUGUUCGGAGUUACUGGGCGUAAAGAGUGCGUAGGCGGUUUUCUAAGUUUGGUGUGAAAUCUCCCGGCUCAACUGGGAGGGUGCGCCGAAGACUGGAAGACUAGAGUGUGGGAGAGGUAAGCGGAAUUCCUGGUGUAGCGGUGAAAUGCGUAGAUAUCAGGAGGAACACCUGCGGUGUAGACGGCUUACUGGACCACCACUGACGCUGAGGCACGAAAGCGUGGGUAGCAAACAGG
rnacentral:rRNA from 1 species